rnacentral:rRNA from 1 species
GAUGAACGCUGGCGGCGUGCCUAAUACAUGCAAGUCGAGCGAACGGACGAGAAGCUUGCUUCUCUGAUGUUAGCGGCGGACGGGUGAGUAACACGUGGAUAACCUACCUAUAAGACUGGGAUAACUUCGGGAAACCGUAGCUAAUACCGGAUAAUAUUUUGAACCGCAUGGUUCAAAAGUGAAAGACGGCCUUGCUGUCACUUAUAGAUGGAUCCGCGCUGCAUUAGCUAGUUGGUAAGGUAACGGCUUACCAAGGCAACGAUGCAUAGCCGACCUGAGAGGGUGAUCGGCCACACUGGAACUGAGACACGGUCCAGACUCCUACGGGAGGCAGCAGUAGGGAAUCUUCCGCAAUGGGCGAAAGCCUGACGGAGCAACGCCGCGUGAGUGAAGAAGGUCUUCGGAUCGUAAAACUCUGUUAUUAGGGAAGAACAUAUGUGUAAGUAACUGUGCACAUCUUGACGGUACCUAAUCAGAAAGCCACGGCUAACUACGUG